GUUUUCAACACAUAAACUGAAGAUGACAGCUCAGCGACAGUGUUUUAAUGUCACUAAACAACAUUUAAUGCAGUCCGACAACUAAAAUAACCGACACACGCUGAGAUAAAGGACAGGAAUGCAGUGAAAAGCGACUCAUCUAAUGAGGGAUGUGUUUGGACCGUACAGUCAACAGAAGCAGAGCUCCGGGACGUUUGGACUACAUUUACUGGCGUGAUGGACGUCUGCUGCGGACAGAGAAUGAGGGAUGUGUUUGGACCGUACAGUCAACAGAAGCAGAGCUCCGGGACGUUUGGAC
rnacentral:lncRNA from 1 species